GCUAUCAUUGCUAUCGAUACGUGUUGCUACUUCGCUGCAUCAUGGAAUAGGUUUGAGACAGUUGGGUGCUGCUUGGGUCCAUGGAUGAUGGAUCUUUCGGGGUUGGAGGUUUAUUGGAUGCUUUAUUAACCCUUUCAAUGAUAGGGGCGAAGGAAAAUUGGAUGUUUUAUUGACUCAGGAAUAUUAAGGAAAGGGGAUAGAAAAAUACAUUUUGGAUUCAUAUUUGGGUGAUGGAUUCUUUCUGAGUAUUUCCAAUAAGGUGCUCUAUUAACUCUAUAAGGACUAAAAGAGGGUUCACCUACCACAGAUGUUUUUGUGUGCGAAAUUUUGUGUCGGUGUGAAGUAGGGUGCCGUAUUUCCUCGACGCCCACGCGUCGAACCGGGAAACAUAGAGAGGAGGAAGGAGGAGGCUGGACCAACGAGGACGGUCGACAAAGUAUUAUCGAUCUCUCCUCCUCUCUUAGCAGUCGUCAACCCACGUAAACCGCACAAUCGACCCUUAUUUUUAAGGAUGGGGGUGCUCUCUGACGAAAUACGUGGACAAGAGGGUGGUACUUGGAAUUUUUCUUGCUUUACUUGUUGAAAAGGAUUCGUACAUGGUGAUACUUGAGUAGCUCUUUUUAAGGCUUCUCCAGGAAAAAAGGUAACGUCCUGGGUUCUCAUCCUUCCCCUUAGGCGUUUCCGAGGAAAAUGACGAUGCAGAGGAGGAGGCCCCGUAUAUAUAGGCCCGUGGCAGACCACCACUUGCGUAUACGCGGGAAAAUUUGAAUUGAUAUUUAUUUAUUAUUCAUUUUUCUCAGUUAUAUACUAAAUUUUAUAACAUAUAAUAAU